rnacentral:rRNA from 1 species
CCUACGGGAGGCAGCAGUGGGGAAUAUUGGACAAUGAGGGGAACCCUGAUCCAGCCAUGCCGCGUGUGUGAAGAAGGCCCUCGGGUUGUAAAGCACUUUCAGUGAGGAAGAACGCCUGGUGGUUAAUACCCAUCAGGAAAGACAUCACUCACAGAAGAAGCACCGGCUAACUCCGUGCCAGCAGCCGCGGUAAUACGGAGGGUGCGAGCGUUAAUCGGAAUUACUGGGCGUAAAGCGCGCGUAGGUGGCUUGAUAAGCCGGUUGUGAAAGCCCCGGGCUCAACCUGGGAACGGCAUCCGGAACUGUCAAGCUAGAGUGCAGGAGAGGAAGGUAGAAUUCCCGGUGUAGCGGUGAAAUGCGUAGAGAUCGGGAGGAAUACCAGUGGCGAAGGCGGCCUUCUGGACUGACACUGACACUGAGGUGCGAAAGCGUGGGUAGCAAACAGGAUUAGAUACCCCUGUAGUC